GCGCACUUAGCUUAGUGGUUAAAGCAUCACUCAUGAAGUUUGGGUUCACAGGUUCAGUUCCUGUAGUGCAGA
rnacentral:tRNA from 1 species